UACGUAGGGGGCUAGCGUUGUCCGGAAUCAUUGGGCGUAAAGAGCGUGUAGGCGGUCCGGUAAGUCCGUUGUGAGAGUCAGGGGCUCAACCCUUGAAUGCCGGCGGAUACUGUCGGGCUAGAGUCCGGAAGAGGCGAGUGGAAUUCCUGGUGUAGCGGUGAAAUGCGCAGAUAUCAGGAGGAACACCUACGGCGAAGGCAGCUCGCUGGGACGGUACUGACGCUGAGACGCGAAAGCGUGGGGAGCAAACAGG
rnacentral:rRNA from 1 species